AUACGGAGGGUGCAAGCGUUGUGCGGAAUCACUGGGCGUAAAGGGCGCGCAGGCGGUUUGGUAAGUCAGAUGUGAAAGCCCACGGCUCAACCGUGGAAGUGCAUUUGAAACUGUCAGACUUGAGUACUAGAGGGGAAAGUGGAAUUCCCGGUGUAGAGGUGAAAUUCGUAGAUAUCGGGGGGAAUACCGGUGGCGAAGGCGACUUUCUGGACAGAUACUGACGCUGAGGCGCGAAAGCGUGGGGAGCAAACAGGAUUAGAAACCCGAGUAGUCC
rnacentral:rRNA from 1 species